rnacentral:rRNA from 1 species
CAGCCGCCGCGGUAAAACGGAGGGAGCUAGCGUUGUUCGGAAUUACUGGGCGUAAAGCGCACGUAGGCGGCUUUGUAAGUUAGAGGUGAAAGCCUGGAGCUCAACUCCAGAACUGCCUUUAAGACUGCAUCGCUUGAAUCCAGGAGAGGUGAGUGGAAUUCCGAGUGUAGAGGUGAAAUUCGUAGAUAUUCGGAAGAACACCAGUGGCGAAGGCGGCUCACUGGACUGGUUUUGACGCUGAGGUGCGAAAGCGUGGGGAGCAAACAGGAUUAGAUACCCCAGUAGUCCCUGUCUCUUAUAC